CCCCCCCCCCCCCCCCGGUCAGUACCAUGUAAUACUCCACACUGCCCAACACUCAUGUCAAUUUGUAUUGUCAGUUGGGACAUUCUGCUAACUGCAGCAGUGCAUCCUACAUUCUGAUCUAAAUAAACAAUUGAAUGACUUGACUCUGUUGUAACGGAGAAAUGCUGAUACCUGAGAGCAUAAUUUCCAGCUAAUGCAAUAUCUUGAGACUGCUCCAGUACAUCAACUAGGCCAGUUUAAUUUCAACUAGUCUCUUCGCUACUCAAAUUUGUAAUCCUCUUGUCUAUUUGCAUCAUGUUCAAAUUUGUUGAUUAAAAAAAAUUUUCACUUUUGUGCCAAAUUCAUAAAUUGACACCUUUUUUUCAAAAACUAUAAAUACGAUUUGGAGUUGAGUUUUUAAACUCAAAAGCAGCACUUGGAGCUGUUCUUGUGGGUAAGGAAUAAGAAGAGUUGACAAAACUAGACACAAUUUUAUUCCAUUCGAAAACUUUUUCAUAUCUCUAGGGCUAAAAAAAAGGAAACAUCUUUUCUCUGAGUCUCUGUAUCUGAAACUUCAUGGCACAACUUUUAUUUCUUAACUUCCAGAAGCCAGUAAGGAUUUGUUUUAAUUCUGAGUUUCAUUAUUUGUUGUCUUUUUUUUUUUUUUUUUUUUUUU